UACGAACCGAGCGAACGUUGUUCGGAAUCACUGGGCUUAAAGGGCGCGUAGGCGGGCUGCCGCGUCCGGGGUGAAAUCCUCCGGCUCAACCGGGGAAGGGCCUCGGGUACGGGCGGCCUCGAGGGGGGUAGGGGCGUGCGGAACUGUGGGUGGAGCGGUGAAAUGCGUAGAGAUCGGAAAGAACACCAACGGCGAAAGCACUCUGCUGGGCCGACACUGACACUGAGAGACGAAAGCUAGGGGAGCGAAUGGG
rnacentral:rRNA from 1 species